CAAUGGCUGCCCCGCCCACCCCAGCUCCUAGCUCUUUGAGAAAAAAAAGCCCUGACUUAGCGGGUGCUGCCAGGUGGGUGGGGUGAUCCCCACUGCCCCACACUGCAUGGGGGGUUCUGCAUGAGCCCCCCACCCUGCCCUGUUGCUGUUCCAGUCCUCCCCACGGGUGUCUCACCCGGGCCAGCUCCAGUCCUUUAAGGAAAAAAAAAGAUAAAACCCCCAGACUCACCACUCCUGAUGGUGGAGGGGUGAUCCCCACUGCUCCACACUGGCCUGCAACAUGUGGGGGUGUUCUGCACAAGCCCCCGAAGCCCCAGGCUGCUACAGGAGCGACAGCAAUAUAGUAUUUGGAGCUGUGGGUUUUACUUCAGUGAGGAUAAAACUGCCUGAGAAAAUGGUCUCUCCUGAACCAUUUGCCAUCAGUGAGCUUUUGGAUCUCAGUGAAGCCCUUUCCCUGCAGGUUGCAAAGGAUGAAGGCGAGCUCUUUAUGGAUUACUCACUUAUCAGACCUCUGAUGUCUGAGCCUGUAAAAUAUGAUCUAUGACCAGUGGAAAAGUAGCAGAAGAUUUUCAUGGAAGUUCCAGAACUGCCUUCACUGUAGACUAUAAUUGUCCAAUAAUAAGAACCCUACUCUCAACUGCUUUUGCACAGGGUACUUUUUUCUUCUUUUUUUUCCACAAUGUGAACAAAAACAACUUUCUUGGUAAUUCGUUCAAAAUGCUUUGAAACAGGAGAAAAUGCUAUCUUAAAUCUAUUUUCCCAUUCUCAUAGACCUGAAUGUCUCCAUAUAGUUUUAAGAAUUCUCUCUCCUUUUGACCCUGCUGGAGAUGAUGGACUUCAUUUUGCUGUUGAGUACUAAAAUGCAGUCCCCACUGGCAUCAGAUGCCUUACGUAAUGCAGAUUUUUUUGAAGGAAAUAACCACACCGUCUUAAGCCUCCACGAGUGGUCCUUUUUGUUUCCGCUGGCCGAUGACAUCACCAGCCAGCCUCAGCUGUAUAAAGGCAUGGCUUAUGAUCAGCGAGAGUUCCCUUCUCCAUUCUGGCUGCGCCAUGGGCCCUGCUGCAGCUUAGAGGCAACUUUAUCAAUGACUGAAAACACAAAAUAUUUAUCAAGUUAUUUCAGGACAUCACUGAAGUAAUCUGUUUCAAACACUGUUCUGCUGUAGAGAUAAUCCUAAUCUAAUCUGGAAGAGUUGUCAUCCUUCACAGUCAUUGUAGAUGCUGUGUAAAUGACCUUUGGAAACUCCAUUACUACCACACAGAGGACUCCAUCCAACUGAGAAGAAGCCUCUGUGGUAUGACAGCCACUAUGCACUGGAUAACUCCAUUUUAACCUUGCCCUUGGCUUUUGGAUUUGCAGAGGCAGCUCUCCUAAUUUUGAAACCAAAUGCAAAGAGCAUCACAGCACCAUUUCCACAAUGCUGUGCUUCCUAUGUUCAUGUAUUAGAUGUUGUUUUAUUUCAAGCAUGGUUAAUCUACUGAUUUUGUUUAAUCCUAAGUAGCAUUGAAGUCACCUCUGUGCCAUCUACACAUCUGUCCACUUCUCUAUAUCUCUUUGUUCUUAUAAUUGUACCAAUGACCUCUUCCUUUGUUUGUCUUUCUGUAACAAAACAAGAGAAUAAUUUCAAAUCAAACCACAAGAGUCAUGCAUAUAGAGGAAGGUUUUGGAAGAAUCCCAAAGUGCUUUUUAUACCCAAGGAUUACUUUGUCCAGCUAUAGAGUAGAAAGUGGAAAAUAUUUAAAAGUAACACAGCACAGCAGUUUGGAAAUAAGGUGAAGAUUAAUCUAGCCAACAGGGACUGAAUGGAAUCUAAUGGUGUGCAUGGAAUAUGACAAAAACGAACACCUUUAGCCUACAGAAAAGUGCCACAGGCCCAUUACUGACUGCAAGAGGUCCAGUACACAGCCUUGGAUCUUACCUGUAAUACAAUACAGGUCUCCAGCAGCAGGAUACUCCUUAAUGGCAAGGUUUAUGGCUAAGAUGACUUGCUUUUAGAAUCUUUAAACCUAGUUCCUCAUUAUUCCCCUCACCAUCAGGUCUUUUAUACAAGCAGCAAUGAGAUUUCGUUGUUGUUUUUACAGGCUUCUCCUGCUCUCAAGCUUGUACAUCUGAUCUUGUGAUACUACUGUAUGUGGUUGCAAUAGGAGAAAUUGUAUGAAAAAGUGUGAUCACCUUUUAAACCCACUCCACAUUUACAAAAGUAUCUGUUACUAUAAAUUUGUGGUAUCUCUGAAAUAUAUGAUGGAGUGGGCUGGUAAAAAGGAUUUUUUGUCAUGCAAUUGAAGUGCCCUACAUAAUUCCUUCAUGGCUUCAUCGUUGAAUGGUAUGAACCCCCUAAACUCUUCUACACUCAUAUCAAUAAAAAUAGUUAUGACAAUAUAGAUGGGAAAAAAUGACCUUGUUUCUCUCCCUUGUUCUAUGGACAUUCUCUGAAAUGUUUUAUUUUAUACAACUGCAACUUCCACACCACUGCACUAAUGUGCUUAGAAACCCUAUUCAAGCAAAAUUUUUCAGACCUCAAUUUAUUUAAUAUGCUUUCUUAGGUUUAGUCCUGUGUUGCAGUUCUUUUGACUUAAAAAUAAGCAUGUACUUGGGUGCUUUACCAAAUGGGGAGGACUUAAGCCUGUGCUUAAAUGAUCUGCUGAAUUAUAGUCUAGAUUUUUGAAGUUGAGCAAUUUUUAUUGUAAACUGGAUUACUUUUGUUUAUUUUUCAGUAGUCAGGAAGCUAUCUAAUGCCACUAAUAAAGACGAGGAGUUUAUGAUUAAGUUGAAACCUGAUGUCUAAGGAAGCAAUAAA